CAGUCGCCGCGGGAAUACGGAGGGUGCAAGCGUUAAUCGGAAUUACUGGGCGUAAAGCGCACGCAGGCGGUCUGUCAAGUCAGAUGUGAAAUUCCCGGGCUUAACCUGGGAACUGCAUUUGAAACUGGCAGACUGGAGUCUUGUAGAGGGGGGUAGAAUUCCAGGUGUAGCGGUGAAAUGCGUAGAGAUCUGGAGGAAUACCGGUGGCGAAGGCGGCCCCCUGGACAAAGACUGACGCUCAGGUGCGAAAGCGUGGGGAGCAAACAGGAUUAGAUACCCCUGUAGUCCCUGUCUCUUAUAC
rnacentral:rRNA from 1 species